AACGCACAUUGCGCCCCUUGGUAUUCCAUGGGGCAUGCCUGUUCGAGCGUCAUUUGUACCUUCAAGCUCUGCUUGGUGUUGGGUGUUUGUCCUUUUCUUGCAAUUUGGACUCGCCUUAAAGUAAUUGGCAGCCAGUGUUUUGGUUUUGAAGCGCAGCACAAGUCGCGAUUCAAGCUCAGAAAGCCAGCUUCCAUCAAGCCUUUUAUCACUUUUGACCUCGGAUCAGGUAGGGAUACCCGCCGAACUUAA
rnacentral:misc_RNA from 1 species